rnacentral:sRNA from 1 species
UAAAAAAUAUCCCUUCU